GCAGGACGCACUAUUCUUUGUCGAGAUAUAUGGCCAAUUUCAUCAGCAUUUCGUAAAUUUGGUUGUUUUGAUUGGUGUUGACCACUAUUAAUUGUUCCAGUUCGCAUCUCAGUCAAACGUUAUCUUCAGCUCACACCAGAAUCACUGCACAAUCAGAAAAUCCGCAUGGCAAACUUUAGCACUGUUGGUGAAGCCACGCUUGGAAAUAUACAAGCAAAAUGCUCAGGCUAUUUUAUCGACUUACUUGAGCGUAAUAAAUAAG